AUGAUCUCCGAUUUGGAAUUCCAGAUCCCGCCUCCUGAUAUCAGCAUAACUCUUCUGUCUGCUCUGAGCUGCCCGAAGUCGUUCUCUGAUCAGCUGAACCUUCUCCACUGUCUGCUGAAUAAUCUCUGGACCCAGAUUUUCCUCUCCCCCACAUCAUCCCAACAAAUAAGAGAUCCAUAGAAUCAACAACAUUCUCCUGAAACUAACUCAAGUAUUUCAUCAUAAUGCCUUUUAGAUCAAAUAUUAAUGAUCUUAACCAAUUUCAAAAUAAGUCAAACCACCACACUUCCGCUGCACACUCUGAUUUAAUUCAUUUAAUUCUCUAAAGUCACAAAAUAAUUUCUGACUAAAGUAUCACUUUGCAUUGAGACUAAGAAACUCCAAAUUUCAAAUUUCCAAGUAGAACUAGAGCAAAACCUCUAGAUCUUUUUGUCCUCAAUUUAUAUAGAGUAUACUUACCAUAACUAACCCCCAAUCCUUUAGUCAAGUUUAAGGUCAC
rnacentral:lncRNA from 1 species